UAACACGUGGGUAACCUACCCAUCAGAGGGGGAUAACACUUGGAAACAGGUGCUAAUACCGCAUAACAGUUUAUGCCGCAUGGCAUAAGAGUGAAAGGCGCUUUCGGGUGUCGCUGAUGGAUGGACCCGCGGUGCAUUAGCUAGUUGGUGAGGUAACGGCUCACCAAGGCCACGAUGCAUAGCCGACCUGAGAGGGUGAACGGCCACAUUGGGACUGAGACACGGCCCAAACUCCUACGGGAGGCAGCAUG
rnacentral:rRNA from 1 species